AAACGACUCUCGGCAACGGAUAUCUUGGCUCUUGCAUCGAUGAAGAACGUAGCGAAAUGCGAUACUUGGUGUGAAUUGCAGAAUCCCGUGAGCCAUCGAGUUUUUGAACGCAAGUUGCGCCCGAGGCCUCAUGGCCGAGGCACGUCUGCCUGGGUGUCACGC
rnacentral:rRNA from 1 species